GGAUAAUCCCAGGCGACUGGGGAAAAGCCAGGCCAGGCUGAUUGGUCCGGCUCCUGUGAAACCGGGUUUUAAUCCGGCGGAAAGGCAGAAUUCACCGGUUGUUCGGGCGAUGUUCGCGCAUCGCCGAAUGCGAAUGAGCAACCAGGCGGUCAGGGACGAUGAGAAACCGUUCCGAACCGAGUCAACUAGUUCAGGCAGGUUUCGAGCCUGGAUGAAUCGCAGUCACCCCCAGGGUGGACAGUUGCUACUGCGAAUCAGCACGGUGCGAACGACUCUGGCGGAAACCCUUCGGGGCGCCGCCCAAAGAAAAACGCCGAAAGGCGGACAAAAGGAGCGAACGCAUCGGGAAGACCACUGAAACUGGGCAGGUUUCGUGAAAAACUUCCGGAGGCCGGCGAUGUUAAAAACGACACCGCUGGACUGUGAUGAAAAGGCAGCUUGAAAGUGAAGAGGCGAGACCCGUGGCUUCGGCGAACGCACUGUCAAAAGCAGUGGCUGACCGCAGGCCAAGUGGUUAAGACGCGAUGAUAAUCGCAGGCGUGUCUUGACCUGGUCCGUAAGCUGGUGGCGCAACCAUCAGCCGAAGCGGGCUGAAAAGCCUCACUUGAAAUUCAGCCGUCGCAAGAUGCUGAACGGCCCUGCUACGAGGCCGAGAACUCCGCUUGCCGUGGAGAAUAGCGUCGGGAAACCGGCAGCCCCGCAAGGGCGCGCCAAAUGUCGGCCCGGGAAAGAGAGUGUGGCGAGCUCC
rnacentral:sRNA from 12 species